rnacentral:rRNA from 1 species
UACGAAGGGGGCUAGUGUUGCUCGGAAUCACUGGGCGUAAAGCGCAUGUAGGCGGUCUCUUAAGUCGGUGGUGAAAUCCUGGAGCUCAACUCCAGAACUGCCUUUGAUACUGAGAAGCUUGAGUCCGGGAGAGGUGAGUGGAACUGCGAGUGUAGAGGUGAAAUUCGUAGAUAUUCGCAAGAACACCAGUGGCGAAGGCGGCUCACUGGCCCGGUACUGACGCUGAGGUGCGAAAGCGUGGGGAGCGAACAGG